GUAGGUGGCAAGCGUUGUCCGGAAUUAUUGGGCGUAAAGGGCUCGCAGGCGGUUUCUUAAGGUCUGAUGUGAAAGCCCCCCCGGGCUCAACCGGGGGAGGGUCAUCGGAAACUGGGGAACUUGAGUGCAGAAGAGGAGAGUGGAAUUCCACGUGUAGCGGUGAAAUGCGUAGAGAUGUGGAGGAACACCAGUGGCGAAGGCGACUCUCUGGUCUGUAACUGACGCUGAGGAGCGAAAGCGUGGGGAGCGAACAGGAUUAGAUACCCUGGUAGUCCACGCCGUAAACGAUGAGUGCUAAGUGUUAGGGGGUUUCCGCCCCUUAGUGCUGCAGCUAACGCAUUAAGCACUCCGCCUGGGGAGUACGGUCGCAAAGACUG
rnacentral:rRNA from 1 species